UAGUUCUAACCCUAAACGAUGCUGACUAGCAAUUCGCCGUCGUUAUUCCCAUGACGUGGCGAGACGCCCCCGGGAAACCUCAAGUCUUUGAGUUCCGGGGGUAGUAUGGUUGCAAAACUGAAACUUAAAGGAAUUGACGGAAGGGCACCACCAGGAGUGGAGCCUGCGGCUUAAUUUGACUCAACACGGGAAACCUCACCAGGCCCGGACACCAGAAGGAUUGACAGAUUAAGAGCUCUUUCUCGAUUUGGUGGGUGGUGGUGCAUGGCCGUUCUUAGUUGGUGGAGUGAUUUGUCUGGUUAAUUCCGGUAACGAACGAGACUCUGGCCUACUAACUAGUGGAUGUGGGUUUUCAUGCAUGGGCCCCAUCCGAUAAUGUCUUCUUAGAGGGAUGAGCAGCGAGUAUAGCUGCAGGAGAUUGAGCAAUAACAGGUCU
rnacentral:rRNA from 1 species